UGAGUUAAGUCGUCAGCCUUGGUUUACAAUCUUGUCGCAAUGGCCUGAAAAAUUUGAAAAAAUGCCGUAAAGCAGAUUUCGGUUUGGAUUUAUUUGGCACCCAAAGUCAUGAAGUUGGAGUAGUUAGUAAUCAUAUAUACAUGUCUUGAUAUGGAGAUUGAAUAAAAUUUUGUUGUUAUUAAUUAUAAUAGCACUAGUAUACUUAAUACAGUAGAAUGC
rnacentral:misc_RNA from 1 species